rnacentral:lncRNA from 1 species
AUGUCCCAUGAUGAUCACAACUGGUAUGUCUUUGAUGAUACUAAAGUCAGACAGCCCAACCCACAAUCAAUCAGUCUCAGGAAUAAUGAAAGCAGUGGAAAGGUCCCACCCUCAGCUCUGACAACGAUGGCUGCAUCAACCAGGACCUGGAACUGCAAGACCAUCACUCUGCACCGACUGUCCCGCCAUUCGUGCCUGCCCUACCUGUGGCCAACGGGUGGAGCACGACAAGACCGGCUGCAAGAAUGUUCUCUGCAUUAAAAAAGUAUGCGUUGUGUGCCUGAUGCUCACACCUGAUUGCCUGAUGACUUCCAGCUCAUAUUACAUAACCUGCUCUGAGGGAGUAGCUCCAACACUCAUGGAAAAAAGGUGCUAUCUAGAACCUAAAAGGGUUAUUUGAUUGUCCCAAUAGGAGAACCCUUUGAAGAACCAUUUUUGGUUCCAGGUAGAACCCCUUUAGUUCCAGGUAGAACCCUAUUGGGUUCAAUGUAGAAUUCUUUCCCCAGAGGGUUCUACCUGGAACCAUAAAGAGUUAUCCUAUGGGGACAGGCGAGGAACCCUUUUUUUAAGAGUGUAGGAAUACUUUUACACCCAUCUGGCACAGAAACUAAGAGAUACAUAGCUCUCAUUCCUGUCGUGUAUUGUCAUGUUGUGUCUUGUUUCUGUCCUUUCCUUUCACCCUGUCUCCCUCUGCUGGUCGUACUAGGUUACCGUUUCUGUCCCUCUUUCCCCCAGCUGUUCCUUGUCUUCUCUGACUACCUCAUUCACCCCUUUUCCCACCUGUUCCCUUUUUCCCUCUGAUUAGGUCCCUAUAUCUCUCUCUGUUUCUGCUCCUGUCUUUGUCGGAUUCUUGUUUGUGUGUCUCAUGCCUGAACCAGACUAUCAUCGUGUUUGCUGCAACCUUGUCCUGUCCUGUCGGAAUCUACCUGUCCAUCUGAGCCCACGUGUGUUCAUCAUUAAAGAAACUCUGUUUGUUAAUUCGCUUUUGGGUCCUCAUUCACGCACCUG